UCGUCACACUAUCAUUAACUGAAUCCAUAGGUUAAUGAGGCGAACCGGGGGAACUGAAACAUCUAAGUACCCCGAGGAAAAGAAAUCAACCGAGAUUCCCCCAGUAGCGGCGAGCGAACGGGGAGGAGCCCAGAGCCUGAAUCAGCAUGUGUGUUAGUGGAAGCGUCUGGAAAGGCGCGCGAUACAGGGUGACAGCCCCGUACACAAAAGCGCAUGUGCUGUGAGCUCGAUGAGUAGGGCGGGACACGUGGUAUCCUGUCUGAAUAUGGGGGGACCAUCCUCCAAGGCUAAAUACUCCUGACUGACCGAUAGUGAACCAGUACCGUGAGGGAAAGGCGAAAAGAACCCCGGCGAGGGGAGUGAAAAAGAACCUGAAACCGUGUACGUACAAGCAGUGGGAGCCCCACCACUAAGCCAGUGGUGAACUCCACAUACGCAUCCUUUGCUGAGGAUACGGUUAACGGAGCGAAAGCGACGUUCAACCUCAAAAGAAGCAGAGGGGGCUUAGUGGUGGGGUGACUGCGUACCUUUUGUAUAAUGGGUCAGCGACUUAUAUUCUGUAGCAAGGUUAACCGUAUAGGGGAGCCGGAGGGAAACCGAGUCUUAACCGGGCGUUAAGUUGCAGGGUAUAGACCCGAAACCCGGUGAUCUAGCCAUGGGCAGGUUGAAGGUUGGGUAACACUAACUGGAGGACCGAACCGACUAAUGUUGAAAAAUUAGCGGAUGACCUGUGGCUGGGGGUGAAAGGCCAAUCAAACCGGGAGAUAGCUGGUUCUCCCCGAAAGCUAUUUAGGUAGCGCCUCGUGAAUUCAUCUCCGGGGGUAGAGCACUGUUUCGGCUAGGGGGCCAUCCCGGCUUACCAACCCGAUGCAAACUGCGAAUACCGGAGAAUGUUAUCACGGGAGACACACGGCGGGUGCUAACGUCCGUCGUGAAGAGGGAAACAACCCAGACCGCCAGCUAAGGUCCCAAAGUCAUGGUUAAGUGGGAAACGAUGUGGGAAGGCCCAGACAGCCAGGAUGUUGGCUUAGAAGCAGCCAUCAUUUAAAGAAAGCGUAAUAGCUCACUGGUCGAGUCGGCCUGCGCGGAAGAUGUAACGGGGCUAAACCAUGCACCGAAGCUGCGGCAGCGAACGUAUCACUUAAAGCGAUUCAGCGGAUGACGAUUGACGGAGCGAAGCGACGUCAAAGCGUAUACAAAGUCGAGUCGGUUUAAGGAUACGUUCGUUGGGUAGGGGAGCGUUCUGUAAGCCUG
rnacentral:rRNA from 1 species